rnacentral:rRNA from 1 species
AUGCCAUUGUCGGACAAGAAGCUAAAGCUGGGCGAGUUGCAACCGACCUGCGACAAAAUCAUGGCAAGGAUGAAGGGAUGGAAGUUGGCCCUAAUUUCCUUGGAUGGCCGCAUUGACCUAGUUAAAACAGUGAUGUCUGCUAUGCCCAUAUUCCAGAUGAUAGCCCUGCAUAUGCCGGCUUGGUUGAUUAAGCUGGUCGACAAGGUUCGCCGUGGGUUCCUAUAGGGAGGGUAGGAGAUAUCCUUAGGCGGCAAGUGUCUCGCCAAUUGGAAGCUAGUUUGCCGGCCGACUGAAUUCGGUGGCCUCGGUGUCCUUGACCUAGCCAAGAACAGCGUAGCACUGCGUGUUCGAUGGCUAUGGCAAGCUUGGACUGACCCAAACAAGCCAUGGCUCGGGCUUGAGCUACCGGUCGACCCGACGGUUAGAGCCCCCUUCAAUGCCUCUGUCACCUUUCACCUCGGAGAUGGGACACGGCUAUCCUUUUGCAAGGAUCCCUCGCACAACGGGGCCAGCUUCCAACUGCGCUUCUGUCACCUCUUUCGACAUGGCACGAGGAAAAAUAUCACCGUAGCUCAAGCACUGCAUGGUGGCCGAUGGAUCGGGCACCUUCAACCAAUGCUCACUCCGGAGGCCACAAGAGAGUGA